rnacentral:antisense_RNA from 1 species
AGGAGGCUAGCGCAAACGCAGCGGGUGGCGGGGGUAGGGGCUCAUUGGGAGCCCACGGAGUGCGGCGGCGGCUCGGGGGCCGAGUUCCCUACAACAAGGAUGGCGGUGACGGGCGCAGGGAGCGGGGCCCGGCUCUCCUUGCCUCGAGGCUCCUCUGAUUCCACUCGCGUGGCUGCGCGGCCCUGGCAGCGGCCUUCGUCCCGGGGGUGGGACCUACACAGGGUUCCGCCCCGUCCUGGCGAGGACGCCUGAGGGGGCUCUGUGGUAAGGCUCUGUCGGGCAGGCCAGGCUUCCGGGAGGACCUGGUCUGGAUCGGUCACCGCUGGGUGCCUGAGCUCCGCAUGGAGCCUGCAGGCUUUGUUUAACUUAUAAAGAAAUGGGGGCUCAGAGCAGUCAAGAAGAACAUGCCCCAAGUUGUUCGUCAGUGAGGCGGAAAUUGUGGUGUCCUUGUUCCAGACCAACUAUGAAGAUAGGAUGCCCAUCCAGAAGAACGGGAAGCAUUUUCUUCCUCACCUUUGGAAAGUAAAACAAAAAAAAAAAAAAAAGAAAAAA